rnacentral:lncRNA from 1 species
UUUGCUAUUUCUUGGGCCACUCCCGUGGCAUAUGGAGGUUCCCAGGCUAGGGGUCCAAUCGGAGCUGUAGCCACCGGCCUACGCCAGAGCCACAGCAACGCGGGAUCCGAGCUGCGUCUGCAACCUACACCACAGCUCACGGCAACGCCGGAUCCUUAACCCACUGAGCAAGGGCAGGGACCCGCAACCUCAUGGUUCCUAGUCGGAUUCGUUAACCACUGCGCCACGACGGGAACUCCACAAGUCUAUUCUUUGCAGAUGAGCCUUAUUCUGGCGAUCAUUUACAGUGUACCCAAGUACUGAAUUAUGAUACACACCUGAAAUGAAUAUAAUGUUACAUGUCAAUUAUACCUCAAUUAACAAAAAAAACUAUGGUACAUACACACAAAGGAAUAUUACUCAGCCAUUAACAGGAAAGAAAUAACGGCAUGUGCAGCAACAUGGAUGGACCUAGAAAUGACCACGCUACGUGACGUCAGUCAGACAAUGAGACACCAACAUCAAAUGCUAUCACUUACAUGUGGAAUCGAAAAAAAGGACACAAUGAGCUUCUUUGUAGAACAGAUACUGACUCACAAGACUUUGAAAAACAUAUGGUUUCCAAAGGAGACCAGUUGUGGGGUGGGGGGAUGGGCUGGGGGUUGGGGAUGGAAAUGCUGUAAAAUUUGGUUGUGGUGAUUGUUGUGCGCCUGUAAAUGAAUACAUUAAUUUUUAAAAAAGAAACAAAAUUAGUGCUACGUUAAAAAAAUAUGAUUUUGAUAGAAAUUCUCCUUGUUACACCAUCUAGGAGAUCUUAAUUCUUUUCAUCGUUUGACUUGCGAAUGUAGAACACAGAAAUAACUAGCUUGUUUUCCUUAAAAAGCCCAUGGAAGCCAGAAACAUCUCAGACUGCACCUAGACACUUGUGGAUUCUCAUCCACCAACUGCCAGCUGGGCUUCCUGUCUUUGGGGGGAGGUCACGUCUUCUUUGAAUUUGACAGGGUUUGUUCCUUCCCUAUUCUGGGUACCCUUGGAGAGAACAGAAUUAUGGCUUUCCUCCAACAUGGCACAGAGGUCAUUUCUUCUCAUGUCAACACAACUGCGUUGUCCACCUGGGUUCUCUCUAGACCCUGGGUUCCUUAAGGCUGAUACAGAGUGGGAUGGGGUCAACAGUGUUUUCUGAUCCGCUACCCUGGGUUAUGUGUACACAAGAGGAGGCCCCAUCUCAGAGAUGCUACCUAACUUCUCAGUCUCAUUCCACGGGUACAUGGGAAGGGCUUCCCUCUGGUGUGGACUCCCUGCUUUGGUGGGGUUUUUCUUUAAAAGCCUCCCCUGUCCCUGCGGCUCUAGCGCUGACCUCCCAGCUCUCAGGGGACGUUUCUCCUCUCGCUGUGCUGACCUUUCUCUGUGCAGGCACGUCCUGGCCUUGAUGGCUGUGCCCACGGCCGACGUCCGUGCCAGCAGCACACAUCUCCAAGCAUGAAAUGACUUUUUUGGAGCUGCCUCCUCUCAGCCACCCGAAAAAGAAAUCUGCUCUCGAAAAUGAGCUGCCAUCAGGCCAAGCAUUUUAAAAGGUUGCAGGCACUUGAGAAACACGACAUGAAAACGUUCAAUUAAAAUUGGUCAGGUAACUGUAACAGAUGGAAAAACACACCCCGUGAAAUGCCAGAGCCGAUGAGGCCAGAGACGCCUGGGCCAUGACACCCUCUCGGGCAUCCUCAACAAGGUUCUACACAUCCAGCUUCCCAGUAAGGCAGACAUUGCCCAAUGAUGUCAGAAACGGGAAACGACAAACGUCUUAACCUCAAAGGGCCAAAAGCUAGCUUAUAUCAUUUCACGUGUUUUACAAGCUUUCUAUGUCACUCUAUAACCUUAUACAGCUGGGCUAGUCCAUUCCCAGGAGCUACCUAUGGCUAUUUCAUUUCUUUGUAAGUGAAUUAAACUUAAAUGAAACCAAACAUCGAGGUUCUCCAUCACUGUGCCCACAUGCCAAGGGGUCAAAGGCCACCUGUGGCCAGUGGUUACCAUACAGGACAGGACAGAUAGGGGCCCUGCUGACGGUCACAGGCACCAGUACUGGACAGCACGGCUGCAGGACAUCAUUGUGUCUGGGGUCCCUCUCAAUGCCUGCGUCUCUGUUCUGGGGGCUGAGCUUUGCUUCUGUUCUAUCGAGUUACUGACACUCCUUGUAAGGAGGAUGCAAACCCCACUUCUGAGCACUGCCCCAAAUCAUGCUUCUCCAGCUCUGAGCCACCAGUGCUCAUCUGUCCACAGGUGCCCCAGCCUCCAACGCUAGUCCUCUGCCCUCACCUGUGUUCAGCCCGUGUUCACACCAGUGAGACUGCCCGGUCCUCUCCUGUUUUGAAUCCUGGCUCCUACGAGACCUGUGGAAACGUUGCUUCCUUUCCCACCCCGCUCAGCUUUUAACUCCCGACAGAGUCUAUUCACCUGUUUGUCCCCAGUCAGCUGUGAUGUCCCCCUGAAAGGAACCCCCAGGUCAUUCAAAGCUCUCGUUUCAGAAAGGUGUCUUAUUGCCCCCUGCCUCUCACUGAUCAACAGACACGGCUUGGAGGGGAAAUUACCUGAGGAUCCUUCCUGUCCCUGGGUCCUCCCUACAUCUGACAGGUGUCGGGCAUUCAAUCACUGCAACUAGGAGUCGAAGGAAUUUCAACGCCAGGGUCUCUCUCUGGAGACCUGUUCCAGUCUACACAGGGUCACCCUAAGAACCAGAAAACGACUGCUGCAUCUGACUGAUGACACAUACUCGCUUUAUGCUCCCUUACAACUUCCACAGGACACCACCACAAGAUCAGAUACCUUUUAUCAUCAUAUAACUGGGUGUCCAUUCUCUGCUGAUACAAUAGAGAGUGUGCCAGGCAGAAGGGUCCACUUUCUCCAUGGAAACCUUCCUUGUUCCAAUCAAGAAUAUUUUGAGGGAGUUCCCGUUGUGGCUCAGCAGUAAGUAACCCAACCAGCAUCCAUGAGGACACGGGUUCAAUCCCUGGCCUCGUGCAGUGGGUUAAGGAUCCAGUGUUUCUGUGAGCUGUGGUGUAGGCUGCAGAGUUGGCUGGGAGUUGGUGCAGCUGUGGCUGUGGCACAGGCCAGUAGCAGCAGCUCUGAUUCGAGCAGUAGCCUGGAAAGUUCCUUAUGCCAUGGGUGUAGCCCUAAGAAAACAAAACAAAACAAAAAAAAAAAAAGAACAAUAUUUUGAUGCAAGGGUGACAUCAUUCUUGAUGUGUCUAUUUGUCGUUCUCUCUCUUCAGACACACACAGACACAGACACACACACGCCUUGUUCUGUCUUUGUUGUGCGUGGGUCUUCUGUCUGGCUGAUUCUCCCUCGCCCUCUCUCUCUCUCAGUCAUCACUGGCCUUUUAUUUGCAGCUCUUACUCUCCUCACCAAAGCCCUCGACUCCCAUCCCAGUUCUCU